rnacentral:rRNA from 1 species
UACCAGCACCCCGAGUGGUCGGGACGUUUAUUGGGCCUAAAGCAUCCGUAGCCGGUUCUACAAGUCUUCCGUUAAAUCCAACUGCUUAACAGGUGGGCUGCGGAAGAUACUAUAGAGCUAGGAGGCGGGAGAGGCAAGCGGUACUCGAUGGGUAGGGGUAAAAUCCGUUGAUCCAUUGAAGACCACCAGUGGCGAAGGCGGCUUGCCAGAACGCGCGCGACGGUGAGGGAUGAAAGCUGGGGGAGCAAACCGGG